GAUGAACGCUGGCGGCGUGCCUAAUACAUGCAAGUCGAGCGAACGGACGAGAAGCUUGCUUCUCUGAUGUUAGCGGCGGACGGGUGAGUAACACGUGGAUAACCUACCUAUAAGACUGGGAUAACUUCGGGAAACCGGAGCUAAUACCGGCUUAUCUUUUGAACCGCAUGGUUCAAAAGUAAAAGACGGUCUUGCUGUCACUUAUCGAUGGAUCCGCGCUGCAUUAGCUAGUUGGUAAGGUAACGGCUUACCAAGGCAACGAUGCAUAGCCGACCUGAGAGGGUGAUCGGCCACACUGGAACUGAGACACGGUCCAGACUCCUACGGGAGGCAGCAGUAGGGAAUAUUCCGCAAUGGGCGAAAGCCUGACGGAGCAACGCCGCGUGAGUGAUGAAGGUCUUCGGAUCGUAAAACUCUGUUAUUAGGGAAGAACAUAUGUGUAAGUAACUGUGCACAUCUUGACGGUACCUAAUCAGAAAGCCACGGCUAACUACGUG
rnacentral:rRNA from 1 species